AUGCAUCUAGGCCACAAGGAACAGAGAGCCCUGCUAAACACGCAGCCAGCCACCUCUAGCCACAGGGCUGCUCGGGAAGCCUAGGAGCUCCUGAAGAAGAGGCCCAUUGUUCUGUUUGGGGGCAGCCCCUCCCAGGGGUUUAUGAAGUGAAGAAGAACUCUGAGGUCACACUGGUCAAACAGCAGACAAUGGGCAACACCCUUCUCCACCAGUGAACAAACAAACAGCUGCCUCCCCAGCACAGCACCGUCGUCCUGAGCACUCGGGGCACCAGGGGAGCCAGCACAGGUGACUAAUGUUUCACUGCUUUCCUGCAAUCACCCUGGGUCAGGUGCCCAAAUUAUGGAAUGAAGGCAGCAUCUCACACCUCACUGAGUGACACGGAAGAUGCUCCAGUGGCCAGGCAGAAGUCUGCCCAUCCUCGCUGGGUGGACAAAGCGCCAGAGCUGGAGGAGGGACGUGGUUUGGUCUGCACCAGGCCAAAGACUCCCUCCUGAGACCUAGAGGAUUCUUAGGUCCGCACGUGUUCAUGUUAGUAGACCGAGCACAGAUUCAGAGUCAGACAGAUGUCAGGCUGAAUCCUGACACUGUGCCACUUCUAGCUGUGUGCCUUCAGGCAAAUUAAUAAACUACUCUGACCUUCAACUUCCUCUUGCAACAAGGGGAUAGUAAUUUCUUACAGGGCUCUGCAAAGAUUAAAUCAUGCCACUUCUUUAACAUGCCUA